rnacentral:misc_RNA from 1 species
GAUGAAGAACGUAGCGAAACGCGAUAUGUAAUGUGAAUUGCAGAAUUCAGUGAAUCAUCGAAUCUUUGAACGCACAUUGCGCCCGCCAGAAUUCUGGCGGGCAUGCCUGUUCGAGCGUCAUUUCAACCCUCGGUCUCCCUCCGGGAGAGACCGGCGUUGGGGACCGGCACUUACCCCGCCGGCCCCGAAAUGAAGUGGCGGCCCGUCCGCGGCGACCUCUGCGUAGUAACUCCACUCGCACCGGGACCCGGGCGCGGCCACGCCGUAAAACCCCCAACUUCCGAAUGUUGACCUCGAAUCAGGUAGGAAUACCCGCUGAACUUAAGCAUAUCAAUAAGCGGAGGA